CGAUAACGAACGAGACCUUAACCUACUAAAUAGUGCUGCUAGCUUUGGCUGGUAUAGUAACUUCUUAGAGGGACUAUCGAUUUCAAGUCGAUGGAAGUUUGAGGCAAUAACAGGUCUGUGAUGCCCUUAGACGUUCUGGGCCGCACGCGCGCUACACUGACGGAGCCAACGAGUAUUAACCUUGGCCGAGAGGUCUGGGAAAUCUUGUGAAACUCCGUCGUGCUGGGGAUAGAGCAUUGUAAUUAUUGCUCUUCAACGAGGAAUUCCUAGUAAGCGCAAGUCAUCAGCUUGCGUUGAUUACGUCCCUGCCCUUUGUACACACCGCCCGUCGCUACUACCGAUUGAAUGGCU
rnacentral:rRNA from 1 species